rnacentral:rRNA from 1 species
GUAUAAGCACUCUUUUACUGUGAAACUGCGAAUGGCUCAUUAAAUCAGUUAUCGUUUAUUUGAUAGUACCCUACUACAUGGAUACCUGUGGUAAUUCUAGAGCUAAUACAUGCGCAAAACCCCGACUUCGGAAGGGGUGUAUUUAUUAGAUAAAAAACCAAUGCCCUUCGGGGCUCCUUGGUGAUUCAUAAUAACUUCACGAAUCGCAUGGCCUUGCGCCGGCGAUGGUUCAUUCAAAUUUCUGCCCUAUCAACUUUCGAUGGUAGGAUAGUGGCCUACCAUGGUGGCAACGGGUAACGGGGAAUUAGGGUUCGAUUCCGGAGAGGGAGCCUGAGAAACGGCUACCACAUCCAAGGAAGGCAGCAGGCGCGCAAAUUACCCAAUCCCGAUACGGGGAGGUAGUGACAAUAAAUACUGAUACAGGGCUCUUUUGGGUCUUGUAAUUGGAAUGAGAACAAUCUAAAUCCCUUAACGAGGAACAAUUGGAGGGCAAGUCUGGUGCCAGCAGCCGCGGUAAUUCCAGCUCCAAUAGCGUAUAUUAAAGUUGUUGCAGUUAAAAAGCUCGUAGUUGAACCUUGGGCCCGUCCUGCCGGUCCGCCUCACCGCGAGUACUGGUCCGGAUGGGCCUUUCUUUCUGGGGAAUCCCAUGGCCUUCACUGGCUGUGGCGGGGAACCAGGACUUUUACUGUGAAAAAAUUAGAGUGUUCAAAGCAGGCCUUUGCUCGGAUACAUUAGCAUGGAAUAAUAGAAUAGGACGUGCGGUUCUAUUUUGUUGGUUUCUAGGACCGCCGUAAUGAUUAAUAGGGAUAGUCGGGGGCGUCAGUAUUCAGCUGUCAGAGGUGAAAUUCUUGGAUUUGCUGAAGACUAACUACUGCGAAAGCAUUCGCCAAGGAUGUUUUCAUUAAUCAGGGAACGAAAGUUAGGGGAUCGAAGACGAUCAGAUACCGUCGUAGUCUUAACCAUAAACUAUGCCGACUAGGGAUCGGGCGGGGUUUCUAUGAUGACCCGCUCGGCACCUUACGAGAAAUCAAAGUUUUUGGGUCUGGGGGG